rnacentral:rRNA from 1 species
UACCCGCUGAACUUAAGCAUAUCACUAAGCGGAGGAAAAGAAACUAACAAGGAUUCCCCUAGUAACUGCGAGUGAAGCGGGAAGAGCUCAAAUUUAAAAUCUGGCGGCCUCCGGCUGUCCGAGUUGUAGUCUGGAGAAGCGUUUUCCGUGUUGGACCGUGUAUAAGUCUCUUGGAACAGGGCGUCAUAGAGGGUGAGAAUCCCGUCUUUGACACGGACUACCAAUGCUUUGUGAUGCGCUCUCAAAGAGUCGAGUUGUUUGGGAAUGCAGCUCAAAAUGGGUGGUAAAUUCCAUCUAAAGCUAAAUAUAGGCGAGAGACCGAUAGCGAACAAGUACCGUGAGGGAAAGAUGAAAAGCACUUUGGAAAGAGAGUUAAACAGUACGUGAAAUUGCUGAAAGGGAAACGCUUGAAGUCAGUCACGUCUGCCAGGACUCAGCCUCGCUUCUGCUUGGUGCACUUUCUGGUUUGAUGGGCCAACAUCAAUUUUGACCGUUGGAGAAAGGCUUUGGGAAUGUGGCACCUUUGGGUGUGUUAUAGCCCUUUGUCGUAUGCAACGGUUGGGAUUGAGGACUGCAGCACGCCUUCAUGGCCGGGGUUCGCCCACGUACGUGCUUAAGAUGUUGGCAUAAUGGCUUUAAGCGACCCGUCUUG